CGUUUGCUAGUAUAUCGGUUAGUACACCAGAUUCUGAUUAGCAUUUCAAUGUUCUGGUAAGCUGGGUUCGACUCCCAGGCGAACGU